GCUUGCUUCUUGGGGUUGUAGGACACUCUAUACGGAGUUACAAAAGAAAGUUAUAAAUGAAGCGGUCUGGAAAGGCCCGCCAAAGACGGUAACAGCCCGGUAGUUGAAAUGGCUUUCCCUCCAGAGUGGAUCCUGAGUACGGCGGAACACGUGAAAUUCCGUCGGAAUCCGGGAGGACCAUCUCCCAAGGCUAAAUACUCCCUAGUGACCGAUAGUGAACCAGUACCGUGAGGGAAAGGUGAAAAGCACCCCGGAAGGGGAGUGAAACAGUUCCUGAAACCGUGUGCCUACAAGUAGUUAGAGCCCGUUAAUGGGUGAUAGCGUGCCUUUUGUAGAAUGAACCGGCGAGUUACGAUUUGUUGCAAGGUUAAGCGGAAAAAGCGGAGCCGUAGCGAAAGCGAGUCUGAAUAGGGCGCAUAAGUAACAGGUCGUAGACCCGAAACCAGGUGAUCUACCCAUGUCCAGGAUGAAGGUAAGGUAAUACUUACUGGAGGUCCGAACCCACGCACGUUGAAAAGUGCGGGGAUGAGGUGUGGGUAGCGGAGAAAUUCCAAUCGAACUUGGAGAUAGCUGGUUCUCUCCGAAAUAGCUUUAGGGCUAGCCUCGAGGUAAAGAGUCAUGGAGGUAGAGCACUGUUUGGACUAGGGGCCCUUCUCGGGUUACCGAAUUCAGAUAAACUCCGAAUGCCAUGUACUUAUACUCGGGAGUCAGACUGCGAGUGAUAAGAUCCGUAGUCGAAAGGGAAACAGCCCAGACCACCAGUUAAGGUCCCCAAAUAUAUGUUAAGUGGAAAAGGAUGUGGGGUUGCUUAGACAACCAGGAUGUUGGCUUAGAAGCAGCCACCAUUGAAAGAGUGCGUAAUAGCUCACUGGUCGAGUGACCCCGCGCCGAAAAUGUACCGGGGCUAAACAUAUUACCGAAACUGUGGAUGAACCUCUUUAGAGGUUCGUGGUAGGAGAGCGUUCUAAGGGCGGUGAAGUCAGACCGGAAGGACUGGUGGAGCGCUUAGAAGUGAGAAUGCCGGUAUGAGUAGCGAAAGAAGGGUGAGAAUCCCUUCCACCGAAUAUCUAAGGUUUCCUGAGGAAGGCUCGUCCGCUCAGGGUUAGUCGGGACCUAAGCCGAGGCCGAUAGGCGUAGGCGAUGGACAACAGGUAGAGAUUCCUGUACCAGUGCUAAUUGUUUAACCGAUGGGGUGACACAGAAGGAUAGGGAAUCGCACGAAUGGAAAUGUGCGUCCAAGCAGUGAGUGUGAGAAGUAGGCAAAUCCGCUUCUCGCGAAGCAUGAGCUGUGAUGGGGAAGGAAAUUAAGUACGGAAGUUCCUGAUUUCACGCUGUCAAGAAAAGCCUCUAGGAAGAGUAGUACUGCCCGUACCGCAAACCGACACAGGUAGAUGAGGAGAGAAUCCUAAGGUGAGCGAGAGAACUCUCGUUAAGGAACUCGGCAAAAUGACCCCGUAACUUCGGGAGAAGGGGUGCUCUAU
rnacentral:rRNA from 1 species